UCCCAGCAGGUAUCAGUGCUUUUGUUGCAGAGCCGUGGGAAGAGAGUGGCGGAGGUCCAGCCAGCAUGCCCAGGGCCCAUGACAGCGGCACAGCCAUCCUAGCUGCCUCCACUCUCAGAACCCCGACACCGACCGGACAGCUGUCUCGUCUCUACAUCGCAGCCUCAGCGAUAGACAUUUCUCACCUGACCUCUCGAACCGGCGAUCGCUUUUUGGGCAAUUCAAGGAGGGGUUGCUACUGGAUUCACCCUUAAAACUGCAGACUUUUGAGGAACAAGCCAGUGGGUGCUGUAUUCACAUGUCCAACUUUACUUCUAAAGAGCUUUUGCGUGGCCAGAGAAAUCAACUGCUCGCCUAGUUGAACGGAGUAGAUUGGCGCUGUGCAGUGGCGAGAGCUUUCCAGCAAGGCCCCCCGGGGCGUUGAAACCUUUCCUUCUGCAGGCCGAGAAGAGAGACUUAAGAGAACAGGUGCUCACUUCGUGACUCGUUCGCCUGGGCCUGGGUGGGAGUUCCCUCUGCUGUGCGACCUACCUACGCGGUCUUACCGCCAAAGACGGGUAAACGGAGGGAGGCCCGAAGGACGAAAAGGUGCAACCCGGUGUUGCAAAGAAGUGAUCCGGAGCCCGUCUGUGCGUCAUGCACACGAUUUAAACCAGCCACUUAUCGCAGGCUUCAACCAUUUGAGGAGUCCUAAAGCAACGGCCCGCUGUCCUGUACAAGGGACCGGAAACCCGGUUCGGAAGCAAGAGCGAACAGAAUUUGCACACCGCGUUGUCUUUCCACGAGGAAGUGCGCCGGCUUGUUUGGAGCGCGCGGCCCGCCCGCUGUUUGAAAGUCUGCUCAUAUCGCGGGGUAUCCUGAGGGAACAACCCUUCUCGAUCUUCGACAUUCCCUUCUUCCCACCCCAGGUGGCCUCCCUAAGCAGCACCAGAGACCCCUCAUUUCCCCGACCAGCUCAAAAAUAAUUGGAGGAUGGAAUUCCCCACACCUUAAACGUGGGCCGUGCACAGUGACUUCUGUCCAACGACUGCGGUGUAGACAGAAGGGCAAGCAACUUUCCUGGAGAAGAACCUGACGAACACUGCUCUUAGGCCAGACGCACAGCCCCCGUCUAAUCACGAGAAAGCGAAGCAGGCACGUUCCAACGGGGGGCGUCUUACAGUGUCCCUGGCGGGUGCGCGACACCAUCCAGAUCCUCAGAAGCAAGGAAAGUCUGAGAAAACGGCACAGCCAGCGGGGAGCCCCAGGAGGCAUAACUAGAUGUCGUGUGGCGUCCUGGAAGGGACCCUGGGACAGAGAAAGGACACGAGGCCUACACGCUCCGUCUAGAGAACCCUGGGCUCUCCGGAAGGUAUAGAAUCUCUGAUUUCUAGUGUCUAAUUUUAAAGGUUGCUACAGGCAGGGGUAAUCGAGCACCUACCUGGCAAGUUUUUCUUCUUCCUCGUACAUAUCCGUGGCCACGAAAGUAUAAUUUAACAAAACCUUUCAGAGGAGUAAACAGUGCCUGCCCCUGGAGGUUGGUAAGGAUUUCCCACAAGGAGGUGAUGCCACGAGAGCCAGGUCAGCCUGCGGAGGCACGGGCGUGGUGGUGAUGGUGUAUAAAGGAGGCAAGGAGUGGGGGAAG